CUGGCCAAAGGUCUGGAUGCUGGAAUCCAGGCCGGGUUUUCACGCCUCUGCAGCCGGGCUGCUAGGUCUGGUUGUGUUGGGAGGAGGAGGAGCGGAGAAGCGCAGAGGGCGAGAGGCGCAGAAGCGGCUGCGCUUUUGCCAAGAAGGCUGGUCGCCGGCGGCAAGCGCCAGGGGUGUUCUUGCGCACUUGGGAGCGCGCGUCCGCUCCUGCUGCUGAUUCAACCCACCGAGCUGCUGCCUCCCCGGCAUCGGGAAGCUCUGGCCGGCGACAGUAGCAGCAGCAGCUGCCCAGGAGCAACUGAACCAAACUGACAGACUUCUCGGUUGAAGGAAGCAGAUGCUUAAUUCUCUCCUGCAUCCAACAGCUGCCCUGUCUUCUCAUUUGGGUGCCUGGGAAAGCUGACUCAUUUACACUUACACCCGCACGUGGACAGAGUGAAAGGAGGAAAAACUCACUGGGAGCUGCAAUUGUUUUGGUUGACACAGGCAUGCCGUAUAGAGGACCAGAGCCUGGAAGAACAGAUCUGUGCUUUGAAACAGUAUCCUGGAUCCUGCAGGGGGUUCUUCCCCAAGGUAUGCCAGAGUAAAGUGCUCCCUACUGCUCCCUGUACAUUCUGACUCAAUACAU